UUUAGUUAAUAAUUCACAAUGAUGUUAGCUUCUUAGUGGUGAUAAACAUGCUACGGCAACAUAAGAUGCUUUCAUUUCAGGAAACCGGUAAGAACAGACUGAAUUACCUCUGAAGAAAAAAUGAAAAGACACUGCGCAAGAUUUUAAUAAAGAGAGGAAAGCAUCCAAAAAGGGCUUUCUCUGGCCUAAAGAGUCCAUUUUGCCUACUGUCAUAGGACUUGAAAAUGAUCAUUCCCCACUCCCCAGCAAGACACAAGCAGGGGGAAUCUUUCUAAAGAGAAACUCUAACAUUUAUCCCAAGGCAGAAAAGAUGAUCACCACGGCACCAAACCUCCUCCGCUGCUCU